UAGUGACGUCUCUCUCUCUCUCUCUCUCUCUCCCCCUUGUUCCUUUUUUGACGGGAUGCUCUGUCUUGUAUAGAUCUUACUUCUAAGUUAUCUGAUAUCUGAUGCAGUGGUUUUGAUUGCCUCUCCCUCUCUCUAUCCGAUUGCAUCUUUCGUGUGUGUUUUCCCUUAUUAUUAUUUUUUGUUUGAUUGGUCCCCUGUUUCUACUCUGUUAAUGAAUGUUAGUUGUUAAUGGGUGAUCUCUCCCCCCCUUUUGUUCCAUGUUUUUUGACAGGAUGCUCUCUCUGUAUAGUUCUUACUUCUAAGUUGUCUGAUGCAUUAGUUUGACUUCCUCUCUCUCUCUAUCAGAUUGCCUCCCAUUAACUCUCACCCAGAAAAUCAUGUAGCUGCAACGCAAAUCCAUUUCACAUAAUUUGAUGAAAAAAAAUGCUAAAAAAUUAAACAAACUAACAUUGUGAGAUGAGCAAUCCUAGCUCUCUUCAGACGGCUGCGAAGUGGGGUGACAUAUAUAACUCAUAUAUAGAUGGGGUCCCAUACAAUGCUUCGCAUUAUCGAGUAUGGUCGAUGGGCAUGACUUGUAACAUGCUGUUCUUGUUAUACAACAGUAAGGUUGGCAAUCCAAAUUUCCCUGCCUCACGGCACAGGGGCGAGCAGCUCUUCAAACGCCUCUGUGGUUUUGUACAUGCAUUCCUUGGGACUUUCGAGUUCUCCAUUGAAAUUAGGGUUUAUCAUUCUCUCUUUAAAUCAGUAGCUUGGUUUCCAUUUCAUAUUUCUUAUUGUAAACGAAAAAUCCGGCUUUCCUUUUUUCUCUUCCCUCUGAAAACCAAAAUCUAGCCUGUUUUUUUUUUGAGGUUUGAGGCUUUUUAAUCUUCUGGUCUGAACACUUAAUACCUGUGAAUUAUCAGCUUGAAAUGCUUCGCUUAACUGGUGCUCGAGACGCCUGCUCGUUAACAUGGAGGUCUUUGAAGAGCUCUCGUCGCUUCCUUCCUCUCUCUAACUCUAUUCCCACUGUAUGUCUUUUGGUUUUAUUGUUAUCUUGUUGUCUUUCAAUUUUCUUACUGAAUUCUUGAAUGGAUUGACGCAUUAUUCUUCUGCACAGGCCUCAAAAACUUGCAACUCUUCGUCCAUCUUUAAGAGCUUAAUAUCUAAUAAAGGUGUUCUUUUACUCUUUUUAGGAUUUUUGUAAAGUGAGUGUCCAGAUCUUUGGGGUUCUCUGAAACAAAAUUUGAUUUCUCUUGAGCUUUCUUGGGUGUUUCAGUGAAUUGGAGAAAUGGGUUUCUUAGUGAGUUGCUAUCAAAUAGAGGGAGAUUUUCAAUUCGAUCCGAUCAUGCCACUGGUGGGCACCUCUUUGUGGGUCGAGAUUGAUGGCUUCGAGAGACGUCUAUGAAGUGCUUGGAGUCGGCAAGAAUGCAACAGAUUCAUAAAUAAAAAAUGCUUGCUAUGCGGUAUGGCACUAUAGAGGGUUCAAAUUAGAGCAAUUUUUCUUUUGGGUUCUCAUGUAUAGUUGUGGUUCAACUUGUGUUUAUGUACUUUUGGAUAGUUUUUAAGGAUUGAAUUUAGUCCAUCCCAAUUAUCACUUAUGAAACAGAUUAUCAUAAUCCUGUUAUUCAGUUUUCUAUGAAUUGAAGAUAGAAAUACAAAGGCACAUUUGGAUGAUUUGUUUAGUUUAAACAAGCAAAUUUAGUUGUUGAUUUGGUGAGGUGAAUUUUGUGACUGGUUACCCUGGAGUUGGCAACUUACUUUUUGGAACAAUUAGUGGACAAAGGAACCAAUUGUUUUAGCCUGAUUCUGAUACUAAACAAAGCACUCUGUGUCUGGUGCCUUUUUUUCUUUUCUCGAAAAUUGAGAUCAAGGAAAUAAAUGCAUGAUAUGGUGGUACGAUUCAAGUUCAAUUUGUUGAAUAGAGUUCUUUGAUUGUUUCAUCUUGCAUAACUGCCUCAAAUUAUGUCUUAGAUCAGGUCACUUUGUAAAUCUCCUGCUCCUACCUCUGCUUAAAAAGGGAGAUUUAUAAUCUUGUGGUUGAAUGAGCAGAUUCAGAUAAGCAAAUUGCUUGAAACUGCUAUAUGUUCAAUUUGGAUGAAGACUCAAUUUGUUAAAAUAACUUAUCGUGUCUUUUUAUAAAUCAUCUCUUCCAUGGAUUAUUUAGACAAUCUGAUGAGAAACGCUUUAUUGCUCAGUCUUCACUUGUUGUCUGCUUCCGUAGCUUGCAAAAAAGCUUCAUCUUGAUGCCAAUACCGAUGAUGCUGAUUCAGCAAUAAAGUUCCAAGAAGUUCAACAUGUUUAUGAGGCGCUGUUUAGAUGUGAAACUGUUAACUUAUUCCAUUGAUGAACAGCAUUCCAUUUUACAUUCCAUUUUACAUUAUUAUUGAUAACAUCCCUUACUAUCAUUUCUCAAUGUUACCUUAUCAUUAAAAUUUGGAAGUCAUUGUAAAUGUUAUUGAGUGUUAUUGUAACAGUCGUUUUUAAUCUAAAUAAUAGUCAUUUUUAAGUGUAAGGACCAUGUUAUACACCUAGCCUACUACCUUUAUUCAGGCUGUUACUUCCAUUGUAGUGGCCACUUUUUAAACCUUGUUGCGAUUCAACAAAGUUACAAUUUUAUAUGGUUGAAAACUAUAGGUUUUCUAUUAUUUAUCAGUGUUUAUUCAUGAUCGGCAGAUUUUUUUUUUAUCAGAGAUUGAGAAAUGAUUCUGUUACCAUUAGUUAUUGCAUUUGUUGAUCAUCUAAUUCGAUGAUCCAAAGUUCCGUGCAUUUAUAUAUGCUUGUUAUAUACAAUAUCUGAUAUAUUAUUGACUAUGUUCAGGCAAUCCUUGGGGGAGCUGUUCCGGUUCCAACUCUUAUGGGGGAUGUUAUUCUUAAGGUCACUUGAACUGUAUAUAAUUGGAAUUUUCCUAGUGUGAUAUUUAGUGGAAUGAUAAAUUGGUGCCUGGUUCUUUAGGUUCCACAAGGUACCCAACCUGGCCAAAAGGUUAUUUGCAAAGGGAAAGGAAUAAGGAAUGGGAGGCCAUAUCAACGUGGAAAACAAUAUAUUCAUUUUAAUAACAAAGUUUCAACGAAUCUGAGUGAUAGACAAUGUUGUUUGAUUGAGGACUUUGUGAAAGAGAAGGGAGAGUGAAAAGGUUGAUGUUGCAGCUGGAGCGAACUGGUGAUAUUUAACUGACAUAUUUCUGGAGAUUAUUUAACAAUUCAAACCCUUCUCGGUUUGAAAGUUUCUAGACUUUUGUCUUGGUUGUGAGGCUGUAGCAUAUUAAAUAUCCCAAGUUUUAAUUAAGGUUCAUAAUAUAUUGAAACAUGAGAGAAAAUUUUGAUAGUAGCGAGUGUACAUAUAUAACUUUAAAUAUAGCAUAUAGUUCCCCUGGUAUUC